rnacentral:lncRNA from 1 species
GCCCUCAGAUCUCAUAGCUCUAUAAAUUCACCGCGGCUCAAAUAAUGGUAUUUCACUUUGAGCAUUUCAUGUGCAAACAGAAGGAUGUCGUAAAAGAAGAAGAAGAAGAAGAAGAGAAGAGAAAAGAUGGGUCAUGACAAAUAGUAAAAGCAGCAGCAGCAGCAGCAGCAGCAGAGGAGUUGGUGGUGCUGUGGUGGUAUAGCAAGGGCACAGUAAUGCUCAAAAGAAUAGCCAUACAGCCACUCCAUAAACAUGUUUCCAUCAUUGGGCAUCAUCAAAGUUCAAGACACAACAAGAAUCCAACCAAAUAAUCACCAGGAAAACAUCCAGAAAGGCAUUUCUACUUAUCAGUUUAACAUCUAACUCAUAAAAAAAGGGCAUUGUAAUGCUUUGCAAGUUUCAAUAAUGCAAAAAUCCAACGUCUCAAAGAAUCCGCACUUCUGAUUCAAGAACUGAAAUCGAGAUAUAGUGCCAAAAUGUUUAGACAGUGAGAAAGCGUCAAAUACGCGACAUGAACAGCCUUCCGUAUCCGAAAUCUCCAUAAGAAAUCCCAUCUUUUUCUUUUUCUAAAAAAAUGUCAACAAAUCCAAAAAAUUUUACCAAUUGCCCUUUAUUUUUUUAAGGCGGAGAAAACAAUUAAAAAAUCUAAAUAAUAAGUUUCACGAGAGGAGCCCUCAGAUCUCAUAGCUUUCAGCAUUCAUCGACGGCUUAAUGGCUGAUUUUUCAUAGUGAGCAUCUUUGACAUGCAUAGAAGAAGAAGAUGAUGANNNNNNNNNNNNNNNNNNNNCGACGACGGUGAUGGUAAUGAUGAUGAUGACGAUGAUGAUGGCGGCUGCAGUGGGAAUGGUGAUAAGAUUAAAGCACGCACAGAUGCUCAAAAUGAAAGACCAAGAAGCCGCUCCAAAAUCCACAAGGUUUCCAUCAUCGGGCAUUACAUAAACACGACUAACAUCUUUAGCAACAGAAAGAUAAAAUUAAAAUUUAACAAAAAGGUGAAUAGAGUACGCUGGUAUCCACUCCGACGAUCCACAGACUUCUUAUUCAAGGAAAAUCCCCAACAAUAAAUACGUCAAUAAAUCAAACAUAUUUUCUAUUGCAAUACAAAAGCGAUAUCUGGGGAAAAAACUAUGCGAGAACUAGAGAAUUUUUGUUAAAAAAAAAUAGAAAAAACAUUAGGAC